rnacentral:rRNA from 1 species
GACGAACGCUGGCGGCGUGCUUAACACAUGCAAGUCGAACGGAAAGGCCCUGCUUGCAGGGUACUCGAGUGGCGAACGGGUGAGUAACACGUGGGUGAUCUGCCCUGCACUUCGGGAUAAGCCUGGUAAACUGGGUCUAAUACCGGAUAGGAGCCAUUUUUAUUGUGAUGGUUGGAAAGUUUUUUCGGUGUAGGAUGAGCUCGCGGCCUAUCUGCUUGUUGGUGGGGUAAUGGCCUACCAAGGCGGUGACCGGUAGCCGGCCUGAGAGGGUGGACGGCCACAGUGGGACUGGGAUACGGCCCAGACUCCUACGGGAGGCAGCAGUGGGGAAGAUUGCACAAUGGGCGCAAGCCUGAUGCAGCGAGGCCGCGUGGGGGAUGACGGCCUUCGGGUUGUAAACUCCGUUCGCUAGGGACGAAGCGUUUUGUGACGGUACCUAGAUAAGAAGCACCGGAUAACUACGUG